rnacentral:rRNA from 1 species
UGGGGGAUAUUGCACAAUGGGCGAAAGCCUGAUGCAGCGACGCCGCGUGGGGGAUGAAGGCUUUCGGGUUGUAAACCUCUUUCGCUAUCGAACAAGGCCCGCUUAGGGUGGGUUGAGGGUAGGUGGAGAAGAAGCGCCGGCUAACUACGUGCCAGCAGCCGCGGUAAUACGUAGGGCGCGAGCGUUGUCCGGAAUUAUUGGGCGUAAAGGGCUUGUAGGCGGCUUGUUGCGCCUGCUGUGAAAACGCGGGGCUUAACUUCGCGCGUGCAGUGGGUACGGGCAGGCUUGAGUGUGGUAGGGGUGACUGGAAUUCCAGGUGUAGCGGUGGAAUGCGCAGAUAUCUGGAGGAACACCGAUGGCGAAGGCAGGUCACUGGGCCAUUAAUGACGCUGAGGAGCGAAAGCAUGGGUAGCGAACAGG